UAACACAUGCAAGUCGAACGAACCUUCGGGUUAGUGGCGGACGGGUGAGUAACGCGUGGGAAUCUGCCCUCAGGAGGGGGAUAACGGCCGGAAACGGCCGCCAAUACCCCAUAUGCCGAGAGGUGAAAUGAAUUUCGCCUGAGGAUGAGCCCGCGUCUGAUUAGCUAGUUGGUGAGGUAAGAGCUCACCAAGGCAUCGAUCAGUAGCUGGUCUGAGAGGAUGAUCAGCCACACUGGGACUGAGACACGGCCCAGACUCCUACGGGAGGCAGCAGUGGGGAAUUUUCCGCAAUGGGCGAAAGCCUGACGGAGCAACGCCGCGUGAGGGAUGAAGGCCUCUGGGCUGUAAACCUCUUUUAUCAAGGAAGAAGAUCUGACGGUACUUGAUGAAUAAGCCACGGCUAAUUCCUUGCCAGCAGCCGCGGUAAUACGGGAGUGGCAAGCGUUAUCCGGAAUUAUUGGGCGUAAAGCGUCCGCAGGCGGCCCUACAAGUCUGCUGUUAAAAAGUGGAGCUUAACUCCAUCAUGGCAGUGGAAACUGUUGGGCUCGAGUGUGGUAGGGGCAGAGGGAAUUCCCGGUGUAGCGGUGAAAUGCGUAGAUACCGGGAAGGACACCAGUGGCGAAGGCGCUCUGCUGGGCCAUCACUGACGCUCAUGGACGAAAGCCAGGGGAGCGAAAGGGAUUAGAUACCCCUGUAGUCCUGGCCGUAAACGAUGAACACUAGGUGUCGGGGGAGUCGACCCCUCCGGUGUCGUAGCCAACGCGUUAAGUGUUCCGCCUGGGGAGUACGCACGCAAGUGUGAAACUCAAAGGAAUUGACGGGGGCCCGCACAAGCGGUGGAGUAUGUGGUUUAAUUCGAUGCAACGCGAAGAACCUUACCAGGAUUUGACAUCCUGCGAAUCUCUUGGAAACUUGAGAGUGCCUUCGGGAACGCAGUGACAGGUGGUGCAUGGCUGUCGUCAGCUCGUGUUGUGAGAUGUUGGGUUAAGUCCCGCAACGAGCGCAACCCACGUCUUUAGUUGCCAGCAUUUAGUUGGGCACUCUAGAGAGACCGCCGGUGAUAAACCGGAGGAAGGUGUGGAUGACGUCAAGUCAUCAUGCCCCUUACAUCCUGGGCUACACACGUACUACAAUGCUACGGACAAAGGGCAGCAAGUCCGCGAGGACAAGCAAAUCCCAUAAACCGUAGCUCAGUUCAGAUCGUAGGCUGCAACUCGCCUACGUGAAGGAGGAAUCGCUAGUAAUCGCAGGUCAGCAUACUGCGGUGAAUACGUUCCCGGGCCUUGUACACACCGCCCGUCACACCAUGGAAGUUGGCCAUGCCCGAAGCCGUUACUCCAACCCUUGUGGAGGUGGACGUCGAAGGUGGGGCUGAUGACUGGGGUG
rnacentral:rRNA from 1 species